rnacentral:tRNA from 1 species
AAGGUACUAGUAUAACGAUAAUACACUGCUUUGUCAAGGCAGAAUUGCAGGUUGAACCCCUGCGUAUCUUG